rnacentral:pre_miRNA from 1 species
AGGAGGAACAGCCCCAGUGGCGGGGCCAGCUCUGGAGCCCUGGAGUCAGCCCCCGCAGUAGCUCCAGAGCUCUCGGUCUGCAGGGCCUGGAGGCUCCGGGGCGGG